rnacentral:lncRNA from 1 species
UCCAGUGCUGAGGCAUUUGACCAUCUUGAUAAGCGGGUUAUGGGAGGAAACUUAGGGGCUGUUCAGGGCAGGCAGUGUGGGCCCCUCAGGACCUCAGCUCAGAGGCAGCUGGAGAGCUCGCUGGGGCAGGCAGGUGAGCAAUCCCAGCGCCUGCCUUCUCAGCCAUGGUCGGCAGAAGCAGGCGCUCCCUGGAGGAAUCCCCGGGCCGGCUGAGAGGCUUUUCUCAGGCGGUUUCUGUUCCCGCUGCUGGAGCCUGAUGUGUCGGUGAGGGCAGCUGGAGCCCACCCGCGUGGCCUGAGCUCAUCUGCACUGGUGUCGCCAUUCGCCCGCCUGACCCGAGUGCAGAAGCUGGGCGCUACAGCCACACCCCUGAGAGUCGGGCACCGGAGUGGGAGCCAAGGGGAGGGAGGAGCAGGGCAGGCCCAGCAGGGCAGCAGCUGAGGCAGGAGGAGACCCGGGAACAGAGGAGGGAGAGGGGAGCCCAGGGAACGCAGGAUGUGGCUCCCAGGAGUGCCAAAGACAGAAUUAUGAGUCCUCUUUCACAAGUCCCGAUGGGCUCUGUUCACAGCUGGGCGCCCCAGAGACUGCAGAAGAGGGGUCCAGGAUGCCCUGUCUCCCAUGGCUGGAGAAGAGGAAGUGGUCUAGAGAAACGGAGAUUGCAGAUCUUCCGCCUCCGGGAUUCAGGAAAGGAGCCUCUCCUGCUCGGCCCCCACGGCCCUGCGGGUGGGUGCCAGUGUCCAGCGAAGAGAAUGGAAGGCGGACAAAGCCGUGGCUGCGUCUUCUGUCUUCCCCCUUGACUGCGAUGUCUCAGAAAUCAGAGCAAACUUCGGCGGGACUCAGCAACUCCCACAGCAACUCCCUGAGCAGCGAACCUGAAACACAGGCAGCUACGGGGAGUCGUGUGUCGUGCUGUUUCUCUGGGUUCGUCCACGCUCUCUGGGGACUCUGAAGAGGACAGGGGUGACCCCCUUCUUCUGAGGCAAACGCGGUCCUACAGUGGGAACUCGGAGCUGAGCGCGCCUGCACGGACCUCGCUCCACACAGCAUAAACCGCAGCUCAGAAGCAGCCAGCAUCUUCCCUUCCUGGGCCUGGCUGUCGCUGCUCUGGCUAAAAUGACCUAACUGGGUUCUUGCUAAAAACAAACAAAACGCCCAGGAUGUAGCUCGUGAUGUGCCUGGCAAGUGCAAGGCCCUGAGUUCGAUCCUCCGUUAAAAUAAAAAGGAAACAAAAUCACUUGUAUUUAUUUUAAGGGGCACACAUAGCGGCGAGGAGAGUGAGCAGUCCGGCCUUGCUAAGACUCUGCCAGGGAAAGGGCAGCCCUGGGGGCCACGUCCCUGGGACCCCGCCUGUGGGAGCUGUGGCCCUCGGUGUGUGGGGGUGACUUGCUCUUAGCCAGCAGAUGGGCUGUGGAAGGUCAAUCCGUGAUUAGGUUACAUCACAUAAAAACCUUUCUUUCUUCUUCUUUUUUUUUUUUGGUGCUGUAUGGGGCAUUGAGUCCAGCCUGGGGCCUUAGCAGGGAGCUACACUCCCUGCACCUGACCUCUUCACCACACCUUUGUCUUUUAAAUUUUGAGGCCAAGUGGCCUAGGCUGGGCUGAAACUUGUGAUCUUCCUGUCUCAGCCUCCUAGAACAUGUGAAGACAGGCGUGUGACCCUGUCUCGUAGCAGACUUCAGACUCUCUUGGCUUGCCG